GUGGGUAGUUUGACUGGGGCGGUCUCCUCCCAAAGCGUAACGGAGGAGCACGAAGGUUAGCUAAUCCUGGUCGGACAUCAGGAGGUUAGUGCAAUGGCAUAAGCUAGCUUGACUGCGAGCGUGACGGCGCGAGCAGGUGCGAAAGCAGGUCAUAGUGAUCCGGUGGUUCUGAAUGGAAGGGCCAUCGCUCAACGGAUAAAAGGUACUCCGGGGAUAACAGGCUGAUACCGCCCAAGAGUUCAUAUCGACGGCGGUGUUUGGCACCUCGAUGUCGGCUCAUCACAUCCUGGGGCUGAAGUAGGUCCCAAGGGUAUGGCUGUUCGCCAUUUAAAGUGGUACGCGAGCUGGGUUUAGAACGUCGUGAGACAGUUCGGUCCCUAUCUGCCGUGGGCGCUGGAGAAUUGAGGGGGGCUGCUCCUAGUACGAGAGGACCGGAGUGGACGCAUCACUGGUGUUCGGGUUGUCAUGCCAAUGGCACU
rnacentral:rRNA from 1 species